ensembl:miRNA
UAUUAAAUUGGUGCAAAAGUAAUUGCACUUUUUGCCAUUAAAAGUAACGACAAAAACUGCAAUUACUUUCGUGCCAACCUAAUA